GUGCUCGUUUUGGCAGCACUUAUGCUAAAAUUGGAAUGAUACAGAGAAGAUUAGCAUGGCCCCUGUGCAAGGAUGACAUGCAAAUUCAUGAAGCGUUCCAUAUUUUU